rnacentral:rRNA from 1 species
AACGAACGUUGGCGGCGUGGAUUAGGCAUGCAAGUCGAACGCACCGCAAGGUGAGUGGCGCACGGGUGAGUAACACGUGGGAAUGUAUCCUUUGGUUCGGAAUAACGUUUGGAAACGAACGCUAAUACCGGAUGAGCCCUUAGGGGGAAAGAUUUAUCGCCGAAGGAGCAGCCCGCGUCUGAUUAGGUAGUUGGUGGGGUAAAGGCCUACCAAGCCGACGAUCAGUAGCUGGUCUGAGAGGAUGAUCAGCCACACUGGGACUGAGACACGGCCCAGACUCCUACGGGAGGCAGCAGUGGGGAAUAUUGGACAAUGGGCGCAAGCCUGAUCCAGCCAUGCCGCGUGAGUGAUGAAGGCCUUCGGGUUGUAAAGCUCUUUCGCACACGACGAUGAUGACGGUAGUGUGAGAAGAAGCCCCGGCUAACUUCGUGCCAGCAGCCGCCGUAAGAC